CAGGCCUCUUCUGUCACAUCAGUUUAAAUAAGUACAACAAAGAUUUAUGACUUCAGCUGGGCGAAGUGGCUCAUGCCCGUAAUCCCAGCACUUUGGAAAGCUGAGGUGGGUGGAUGGCUUGAGCCCAGGAGUUUGAGACCAGUACUAGGCAACAUAGGUGGACCUCCGUCUUUACCAAAAAUUUAAAAAUUAACUAGGCAUAGUGGUGUGCACCUGUAGUUAGUCUCAGCUACUUGGGAGUCUGAGGUGGGAGGAUUGCCUGAGCCUGGGAGUUGAAGGCUGCAGUGAGCCAUGAUCCUGCCACUGCACUCCCAUCCUGGACAACAAAGCAAGACACUGUUGCAAAAAAAAAAAAAAGAAAAGAAAAAGAAAAAAGAAUUAUCAACUCUUACUGUCCCUGAACAUUGAAGAUCAAGAGAUCAAUGACAUUCUAAAUGUUGGAAUUUACAGUCUUCCAGUCUCCUGGACCACAAUGUACAGUUAAUAGAUCUUUCCAAGCUUUAUGGUACUGAAUC
rnacentral:lncRNA from 10 species